rnacentral:rRNA from 1 species
CGCGUAGGCGGUUGCGUUAAGUUAGGCGUGAAAGCCCUGGGCUCAACCCGGGAACUGCGCUUAAUACUGGCGCGCUUGAAUCCAGGAGAGGUUGGUGGAAUUCCCAGUGUAGAGGUGAAAUUCGUAGAGAUUGGGAAGAACACCGGUGGCGAAGGCGGCCAACUGGACUGGUAUUGACGCUGAGGCGCGAAAGCGUGGGGAGCAAACAGGAUUAGAUACCCUGGUAGUCCACGCCGUAAACGAUGUGUGCUAGCCGUUGGGGCUCUUAGAGCUUCGGUGGCGUCGCUAACGCUUUAAGCACACCGCCUGGGGAGUACGGUCGCAAGAUUAAA